AAUAAACGCUGGCGGCGUGCCUAACACAUGCAAGUCGAGCGAGAAAGCUCCUUCGGGAGUUAGUAAAGCGGCGAACGGGUGAGCAACACGUGAGAAUCUACCCUUUAGUGAAGAAUACCCUCGAGAAAUCGAGGCUAAUACUGCAUACGUCCCUUCGGGGAGAAAGAUGGCCUCUUUGCUAUCGCUAAAGGAUGAGCUUGCGUACUAUUAGCUAGUUGGCGGGGUAAAGGCCCACCAAGGCAAUGAUGGUUAACUGGCCUGAGAGGGUGUACGGUCACACUGGAACUUAGACACGGUCCAGACUCCUACGGGAGGCAGCAGUGAGGAAUCUUGCGCAAUGGGCGAAAGCCUGACGCAGCGACGCCGCGUGGAGGAUGACGGUUUUCGGAUUGUAAACUCCUGUUAAGCGGAAGAAAGCCUUGUUUCUAAUACAAGCAAGGUAUGACGGUACCGCUAGAGAAAGCACCGGCUAACUUCGUGCCAGCAGCCGCGGUAAAGUGCGCG
rnacentral:rRNA from 1 species